GUGAGUAACACGUGGAUAACCUACCUAUAAGACUGGGAUAACUUCGGGAAACCGGAGCUAAUACCGGAUAAUAUAUUGAACCGCAUGGUUCAAUAGUGAAAGACGGUUUUGCUGUCACUUAUAGAUGGAUCCGCGCCGCAUUAGCUAGUUGGUAAGGUAACGGCUUACCAAGGCAACGAUGCGUAGCCGACCUGAGAGGGUGAUCGGCCACACUGGAACUGAGACACGGUCCAG
rnacentral:rRNA from 1 species